AAGUAAAAGUCGUAACAAGGUUUCCGUAGGUGAACCUGCGGAAGGAUCAUUAUCGAGUUUUGAACGGGUUGUAGCUGGCCUCAUACGGGGCAUGUGCACGCCUGGCUCAUCCACUCUUCAACCUCUGUGCACUUAUUGUAGAUCGGUGAUAAGGUCGAGUUCUUUUAUUAGUUCUUGACUGGAAACCUUUCUACGUUUUUACUACAAACGCUUCAGUUAUAGAAUGUUUAUCUGCGUAUAACGCAUCUUUAUACAACUUUCAGCAACGGAUCUCUUGGCUCUCGCAUCGAUGAAGAACGCAGCGAAAUGCGAUAAGUAAUGUGAAUUGCAGAAUUCAGUGAAUCAUCGAAUCUUUGAACGCACCUUGCGCUCCCUGGUAUUCCGGGGAGCAUGCCUGUUUGAGUGUCAUGGAAUUCUCAACUCUUAAUACUUUUUUGUAUCAAGAGCUUGGACUUGGAGGCUUGUGCUGGCUGCUCGUUCAGUCGGCUCCUCUGAAAUGCAUUAGCGUGAAUUAAUAUGGAUCGCUUCGGUGUGAUAAUUAUCUGCGCCGUAGUCGUGAAGUACUUUAUAACGUUUACGCUUCUAAUCGUCCUUCACGGGACAAUUAAACCCUGACUUUUUGACCUCAAAUCAGGUAGGACUACCCGCUGAACUUAAGCAUAU
rnacentral:rRNA from 1 species